rnacentral:rRNA from 1 species
UGCCAGCCGCCGCGGUAAUACGUAGGGACCAAGCGUUGUUCGGAUUUACUGGGCGUAAAGGGUACGUAGGCGGCGUUACAAGUCACUUGUGAAAUCUCCGGGCUUAACUCGGAACGGCCAAGUGAUACUGUAGUGCUAGAGUGCAGAAUGGGCAAGUGGAAUUCUUGGUGUAGCGGUGAAAUGCGUAGAUAUCAAGAGGAACACCUGAGGCGAAGGCGACUUGCUGGGCUGACACUGACGCUGAGACGCGAAAGCGUGGGGAGCAAACAGGAUUAGAUA